rnacentral:lncRNA from 1 species
AAGGGAAAUUUCUGCUACAACAUGGAAACUAUUGCAAAAUCUGUCCAUUCUGAGGUUACAAAAUCAAGUUUAAAAUUUUGAACGUCACCAUUGAGCUUAAUAAAAUGAACAUCAGCAACACUGUACCUGCCUUCAUCCUCCAUACCCAAUAUCAUCCUUCUUCACCCACUGAAGGGCGUUUGGAAAGAUUCAGACCUGGACCUUGACAAUAGUAAUCAAGCCUUCCUCUGCAGGUGUUGGGAGGAUUCACUAAUCUAAGAACACCUAAAUCCUGUAUACCGUUACUAGCAGGUUUAGACUAAGAUCAAGCCAAGGAUACCAGUGAAUUUCUGGUUUCAGUUCAUUGGCACGUUUGUUAAUUACUAGUUGUUGCACAGCACAGAACCACAUCACUGGGCAGCUCAGAGCCUCGCACACGGUACUCACAGCCAGUCCAGAGCAGGGAUCCUGGUGCAGAGGAUGCCAACAUCAAGGUCUGCACUGGGACGCAGCUGAGAGGAGAUCCCCUUCCAAGCCGGAGUGUGCUGUCAGGGUUAUUUCCAUGCUCAGGGCACGACGGUCUCACUAGUGAGGGAUUCAAACAAUGAAAGAUAUAAUACAAUGCCUACAGAAACUCUUUGAAAAGAUACAUGAGAGAGAAGAGUUCUUCCCAACUUAUUGUGUGAGGCCAGAUUUCUUGGAUACAGA